rnacentral:rRNA from 1 species
GCUCAGGAUGAACGCUAGCUACAGGCUUAACACAUGCAAGUCGAGGGGUAGCAGGGUAGCAAUACCGCUGACGACCGGCGCACGGGUGAGUAACACGUAUCCAACCUUCCCAUAACUCGGGGAUAGCCUUUCGAAAGAAAGAUUAAUACCCGAUAGUACUUUUUUAGGGCAUCUUAAGAAAGUUAAAGAUUUAUUGGUUAUGGAUGGGGAUGCGUUCCAUUAGAUAGUUGGUGAGGUAACGGCUCACCAAGUCUUCGAUGGAUAGGGGUUCUGAGAGGAAGGUCCCCCACAUUGGUACUGAGACACGGACCAAACUCCUACGGGAGGCAGCAGUGAGGAAUAUUGGUCAAUGGGCGAGAGCCUGAACCAGCCAA